rnacentral:rRNA from 1 species
ACGAACGCUGGCGGCGUGCUUAACACAUGCAAGUCGAACGGUGAAGGAAGAGCUUGCUCUUCCGGAUCAGUGGCGAACGGGUGAGUAACACGUGGGCAACCUGCCCCUGACUCUGGGAUAACUCCUCGAAAGAGGUGCUAAUACCGGAUACGACCACUUCGGACAUCCGAUGGUGGUGGAAAGUUUUUCGGUCAGGGAUGGGCCCGCGGCCUAUCAGCUAGUUGGUGGGGUAAUGGCCUACCAAGGCGACGACGGGUAGCCGGCCUGAGAGGGCGACCGGCCACACUGGGACUGAGACACGGCCAGACUCCUACGGGAGGCAGCAGUGGGGAAUAUUGCGCAAUGGCGAAAGCCUGACGCAGCGACGCCGCGUGAGGGAUGAAGGCCUUCGGGUUGUAAACCUCUUUCAGCAGGGACGAAGCGAAAGUGACGGUACCUGCAGAAGAAGCACCGGCUAACUACGUG